UCGGCAACUCUUGCCGGUUUCUUGUUCCUCAGAAACCUCAGAUCUCAACCUCACACCACUGACACCGACUUGGACGCAAACAAAGAAAACAAUGAACAACACACCUAACCUUAAAGAAUGAACAUUCAAGGUACAAAGAGGACCCUUUUCCACCUCUUUCUGUUUAUGCUUUAGAUUUUACAAAAAUGUUGUCUUUUCAUAUCGUGAAUUGGUGAGUCUACUGGUUCGUGAUGCAUUGCAAUCUGGGUUCUGGACCUUCCUUGACAUGGCUAGUGGUCGCUAUCUUUGGAGGCACUUAGUGUCUUCCUCUUUCCCAAAGCCUGAAUGAACGGUUCCCAUGGUAUAUAGUUGCUUUUAAUGGUGAUAAUAAUCAUAACUUAGCUGCAAUACACUACUGUCCAGUUCCUUAACAUGUGAUUUAGACUUAUAUGCCAGUGAUUGCUUGUUGCUUUUAUGUGUGUAGCUGUAAAUGGAAUACCAAUAUGGUGCGGUUGAUUCGCAAAUAACCAUGUUUCUUACUCACCAUUUCUCCAACGCAUGUGUUUUAGAGAUUAAUCGUUUGUGAAUGUAUAAACCGUAGGAGAACAAAUAUUUCAACAAAAGAGUAUUUUACAGAUUAGUUUGAGGUUUUGGGAUGAAAGUAUAUCUCAGUUCACGAAAAUGUUGUAAAUUAAAUACGGUUUUCUUCCCUUAGAAACUGGUCUUCUUUAUCUUAUGAUUUUUUUUAAUAAAUUAGUGACUGAAAUGAGAAUUUUAUAGAGUAGAAGACUAAAGUGAUCUACUCUUACAAGACUAGAACGGGGUUCUACAAGGAUAACCCACCAAUGACCAGUUGAUAAUGCAACAUGCUUCACCUACUCUAAGGAAAAUAUCUUAGCCUCUAAAAUUCUGGCAUCAAUAAUUUGGAACUGAUUUUAAAUGCUACAAGGAAACUUUUGCUGUGCGGAGUAUUCUGUUUAUUAGAAUUGGUUUUGGAAGAAUAUAAUCUAGAUUCCUGGUUGUACACAAUAUAUAACCUCAUUUCUGAAAGUUAGAAAUCUGUCUGGUUUUUAUAAAGAAUAAUAAUUUAUAGUCUGUGAUAAAGAUUAAUUUAUCCCAACAUUAUUGAAAUCAAUUGAUUGUGAAAAUCAGUUCUAGACAUAGAAAAUUAAUGGGGUAUACUUUUGGAUUAGUUUCUUGAUAUUGAUCAUGUAUGAUUAGUGACAAAAUUGCCUUUGCCUGUAUCAGAAGCAGGUCUUUGUAUAAAAAGAAUAGAUAAAGAAACUACACAAUUUAUUGAUUUCUCUCAGGACAGUAUGUAUGACUCUCAUUAUUCACUCAUGUCCUUAAAACAUUUGGAGCCACUACCACUACAAACCUGUUUUUAACCAGUAAACAUGCAUAUAUAUUCAAAACUAAACAUCUGCCACCUGAAUUUGAGACUAUGUAUUACAAUAAGGUCAUGGCAUUGUAAAACAGAAGAAAAAUAUACAGAUACAGCAUAAUUUAAAAUGGCAUUUCAUAUUAUUGAUGCACAAAUAAUAAGGUUUGAGAUAUUGAAAACUAAGAAAAAUUUGUAUUUGGGACUGAGAUUGUUGUUGCUGAGGUUGCUCCAACUGUUG
rnacentral:lncRNA from 1 species